rnacentral:rRNA from 1 species
CUGCUGCCUUCCGUAGGAGUUUGGGCCGUGUCUCAGUCCCAAUGUGGCCGUUCACCCUCUCAGGCCGGCUACUGAUCGUUGCCUUGGUAGACCAUUACCCCACCAACUAGCUAAUCAGACGCGGAACCAUCGUAUACCACCAGAGUUUUUCACACCGCUUCAUGCGAAGCUGUGCGCUUAUGCGGUAUUAGCACCUAUUUCUAAGUGUUAUCCCCCAGUAUACGGCAGGUUUUCCACGCGUUACUCACCCGUCCGCCA